ACUCCUACGGGAGGCAGCAGUGGGGAAUAUUGCACAAUGGGCGCAAGCCUGAUGCAGCCAUGCCGCGUGUAUGAAGAAGGCCUUCGGGUUGUAAAGUACUUUCGAGCAAGUGAGGAGGUGGGUAUGUUUAAUAGCAUACUCAUUUGACGUUAAGCUGCCAGAAAGGAANCACCGGGCUAACUCCGUGCCAGCAGCCGCGGUAAUACGGAGAGUGCGAGCGUUAAUCGGAAUUACUGGGCGUAAAGCGCAUGCAGGUGGUUUGUUAAGUCAGAUGUGAAAGCCCGGGGCUCAACCUCGGAAUUGCAUUUGAAACUGGCAAACUAGAGUACUGUAGAGGGGGGUAGAAUUUCAGGUGUAGCGGUGAAAUGCGUAGAGAUCUGAAGGAAUACCGGUGGCGAAGGCGGCCCCCUGGACAGAUACUGACACUCAGAUGCGAAAGCGUGGGGAGCAAACAGGAUUAGAUACCCUGGUAGGAUAGCGU
rnacentral:rRNA from 1 species